rnacentral:tRNA from 1 species
UGCCGGGUCGUCUAAUGGUAGGACAAUAGAUUCUGGAUCUAUUUAUCUAGGUUCGAGUCCUAGCCCGGCAG